GGUGGUUAUUGGAUGACGCAACCUGAAAUCGGGCUCCCUCCUCUCUGGUUCCAGGGUGCAUCACCCAAGAACCAUC
rfam:Myotis brandtii contig193432, whole genome shotgun sequence.